GUGGGACGUCUUCAUCGGCUUUCCUUGAAUAAUUAACAAUUAACUCAGAACUGAAGCGGACAAGGGGAAUCCGACUGUUUAAUAAAAACAUAGCAUUGUGAUGGCCUGAAAAGGUGUUGACACAAUGUGAAUUCUGCCCAGUGCUUUGAAUGUCAAAGUGAAGAAAUUCAACCAAGCGCAGGUAAACGGCGGGAGUAACUAUGACUCUCUUAAGGUAGCCAAAUGCCUCGUCAUCUAAUUAGUGACGCGCAUGAAUGGAUCAAUGAGAUUCCCACUGUCCCUAUCUGCUACCUAGCGAACACACAGCCAAGGGAACAGGCUUGGAAUAAUCAGCGGGGAAAGAAGACCCUUUUGAGCUUGACUCUAGUCCGACUUUGUGAAAUGACUUACGAGGUAUAGCCUAAGUGGGAGCUCACGCGAACCUGUAAAACCACUACUCGUUUUGCCAUUUUACUUAUUCCGUGAAAUAGUGACCACUUUCCGGUGGUUCUAGUAUUAAGGUUAGGCGCUAAGCUCGACUG
rnacentral:rRNA from 1 species